UUUAUCAUCAUCAGUGGCCAACUAUUCAGCAAAAUGGGGGAUAAUUGGCAACAUGAAGUCAAUAAAACUGACACAGCUUAUAACUUUGUUGUUAAUCAGUAAAUUCGGACAAAGCCAUGGCUCUAUGCUUCUUCUCUAACAUCCUGGAAGUGCUCCAUCCAUUUAGACCAUGUUGUAUCCAUGGUUCAACAUGGGACCUUUCCCAAACGGCUAUCAAGUUACUCAACAGCAGCAAAGGUUGUGUAAACACAAAACGAAUGUCUACGAUGAAAAUGACCCAUGGUACAGGGGCAUGGAGAAAGCAGCAUUCCUCCACAACCUUCCGCCAAUCUCCCUCAUACCUGUGGUCUCUUCUCAGAGUUUGCCUCUCCAACUACAACACAAGCUCCUUGAGAACAGGGGCCUCGCUGCUCCGUCUGCUGGUCCUUCCCGACCUUGUACCGAGCCUCUGACCUGCAAACAUCUGCUAAAGUAAUGAUGGAGUUGAGGAUGUCAUCGUUCUAUCGCCACCUAGUGGACUCUUUUCCAAACUGCGGGGUUGGGGAGGAAGAUGCCCUUGAUUGACCAGGCUGGAGGUGGUUGCUAUGAGCCUUUCAUAUCUGUACUCUGCUUUCCCUUGGAGCAGAGACUUCCUGGAAGAGCAGGGGCAGGGCCAGGGCCCAAGAAGAGACAGGAUCGGGGACAGCUGAGGUGAUCUGGAAGAUGAGAUAGAAAAUGACAAACAGGAGGAGGAGAGGGAAUUUCCAGGGCUGUCACUUCGAAUGCAUGAUGAGGUCAUUUAAGCCCACAAAGACCAGUGAAGCACAUGGUGGGACUCCUGUUUUACACACAUGGAAACCAAGGCACGGACAAAUGAAGUGGCCUGUUCUGGACCUCAGACCCUCUUGGAAGUGGAUCUGAAUGAAGGCCAUCUUUGCAGAUGAAUCAGGCUGUGUGCCUAGGUUUGUGUUUGGGGACUGUGGUUUAUGGGUGGGUACCAGACAUGUGCAAGAAAACUUUAAUGCAGGCAUGAGCACAGACGCCCAGGUUUGGGGACUGGGAACAGAGCGUCUGCCUUUACGAUGUCCAGCAAGCGGGGUCAGAGUGACUUUUGUCCUGUCCAGAGUCUGGGUGGUUGACUUUAAGUUCACAGUCUCAAGCAAAAGGCCUGGUCCCUGACCACAGAGGGUAACAGAGAGCUUUGUUGGAACCCAGAAGUGUGCCCAGACCUCUGAGAAUCACCCUUGGGUUUCAGUUCUCAGUGGGGCUUGUCCCUGGGGGCAGCAUGUGUGUAUAGAGUGCAGGUGGGAUGGGGGCUGGGCCUUCCCCAGAGGGAAGGGAGCCAGCAGGCCCUGCCUCCAGGCUGUCCGAUGUUCUCAGGAGGGCAUGAGGAGAGGUGUGGGGUACCCAGCUCCCCAAGUCCAGCGGUAGAACCGCGCAGCCCCCAACUGCAAACUUGUGCAGUUUCAUAUCCCACAGUGGCAGUUAACUGCCUUGCUCUUCUGGGAGCAGAGGGCUCCAGCCUGAGCGAUUUAGAGAGAUGAGGGAGCCAUGCUCUCGCACACAGAGCUGGAACCCCAAGACUAUAAUAUUCACCCCCUGAAAGCUGAGGGUGUGCCUGGCUAGGAGUCUCACUUUUUGUUAGUAGUGCCAGGUUGGGCCAGGAGCCUCUUGUGAGCCAGGGAAGCACUAACCACUGAGCUACACCCCAACUACUCUUCAGUUUCUAUUUUGAGAUGGUCUGGCUCAGUUGCCCAGGCUGGCCCUUGAACUUGCAACUCUCUUGCUUCUGCCUCCAGAGUAGCUGGGAUUUCAGGCCUAUACCACCAGGCAUGGCUGGAGACCCACUUUUGAGGUGUGAAAACUGAGGCUCAGAGGGCCAGAAACACCCCUACCCCUCAAAACCAGGUCACCAAUUUUAAGCUGAUCUGAAAUCCAAGUCUAAAAACACCGAGGCAUUUGACCACAACUCCAAGGAGGCUCCCAGGCCACUAUUGCUCCCUAGGCCAAAUCUGAAGCCACCCAUCCCUCGCCAGCCUCUGGGUAUCACUGCAGCGUCUACUUCUGCUUAGGGCUUCUUCUGGCUUCCAGUUUUCCCAUAACAAGGUCCAUGCCAUACACAUCUGAUCUCUCUCUCUGACCCUAAAAGUCCCUCCACAUUUCCGGUGUGGAGCCUGGGAUCAGGGCUUUGAAGGCAAGGGAGUGGGCAGGGGUGAGCCUGUUCUGAGAACCUGAUGUUCGGUCUGAGUCCCCUGGGGUGUACACUUGUAAGUGCCCUUUAGCCCACAAGGGAAUCCUUGUAGUGACAGACCCCAUCCCCGUGUUUGUUUGUUUGUUUUUUGAGACAAGGUUUCUCUGUGUAGUCCUGGCUGUCCUGGAACUCACUCUGUAGAACAGGCUGGCCUCUGCCUCCCCAGUGCUGAGCCUGUCCCGAUUUUUCAAGUGGGAAAGCCGUGGGGUUAGUAGAGGGCAUGGCCUGCUUGAAUCCUGGCAUGUUCCAGACAGAACAGCCACCUAUACAGCUUCAACUUCCUUUCGUGGAGCCAUUUGAUCUGACCCAGCUCCCCAGAAGCUGCCCAAGGUCCCACACGUGCAUCAGAUAGCAGGCACCUCUUUCUGCCUGGCGGUAUCCGAUGUCUCACCAGCCCAGCCGUGUGCUUCAGGGACGCCUCAGGAGGAGACUGGAGUGGCCGGAUUCCCAGAGCUUCCUAGUGGGAGCCUGUUCCUCCUGCGACCUGGCUCAGGGCAUGGCUGGGCUGCUGUAACAGCGGGGACCCAGCUGUUCAUGUUCACACACAUGAUGCCCCUCUUUUCUCCAAAGGAGCCACUGCAGGGUGGGGGUGGGGAGCUAAGACCCAGAGUCAGGAGAGCCAUUGCUUGCGCAGGGCUCAGCUCCUGUCCCUACAUACUGAACAAUAUGGUCCAGGGAACAAGAGUGGCAGAAAGUGCCUAUGCAGGCUUAAGCAAGGGCCGGGACAGUGGGAGGUGGUGUCUCCUAGAUUCUGCCUGAGCAUCGUCCAAGAACGGAGGCUUCCUUGACCACCAGCAUCUCAAGAUGAUUUCAUACUAGUAAAGGGUCCCCAUAGAAAAGCCUGGUGGUCAGAGAGACAUUCCAAGGCCGCACAGAAGUCCUGUUCCACCUUUGCACUCCAUGGCGCUGCAGAAGUGGCUCCUCCCAGCAUAGAAACCAUAGCAGGAAGACCGUGCGCCUGCCCUCAGCUUUGCCUCUGUCCUUCAUCUAGGCCAGGUGUGUAAAUGCGGAGUCACCGGAGCUGUGCAGGUCUCACCCGACCCUGCCUCCAGCCUAGGGGUGCUGUGCUCAGGACACAGCUUCUCUUCCUGCUCCAGCACUGGCCCUCCACGGCUCUCCUGCCUUCAGCUUUAUUUUAGGAGAACUCCAAAUGAAAUCCCGAAGAUUUCACUUCCAGAAUCAUUUGGGGACCCCAAAGGCUCUGGGGAGGCUCUUGAAGCUGAGGAGUCUUUCUAAAGGUAGAGCUCAGCUCCCCCAAAAGUCCAGGUUCCACUUCUCUGCACACCCAGAAGCCCUCUCGCGCCCCCCCCCCCCCAAUCCCCUGCUAAUCCUCUGGUCUAAGCCACUGUUACCUGUUACCUCUGUAGCUGCCUCCACCCGUCUCUCUGCUUCUGCUCUGGCUGAAGGCAGCAACUGACCCUGGAUACAGCUAGUUUUCAUUUAGGGCAAACACCUCCUCCAGGAAGCCCUAGAGGCUCUUCCAAGCCUCCAGUGAAAGUGGUCCCACCUUCUUUAGCCUGAGACUUGUGGUAAGUGUUGGGCCAGUGAUAUCACAGUGGGCCCCUGAGUCUCGGCCAGAGAACACCUGGGGAUUGACUAAGCUCAGUUUCAGCUCCAUGGGGCUCACAAGCACCACAAGGUAGUUCUUGUCACCCCCAUUUUACAGAUGAGCAACUGUGGUUAGAGGCUUCCCCACGGUGCUUAGCCUGAACAGUUGGGCAGAGCACCCAGAAGGCGCAGCUGUGGCCUGUGUGUGCUGGACUGUCCCAUCCAUAGCACGUGAGAGUCGACCAGCAAGCCUGUGCCUCCCUGCAGAAUAUUCGCACAGGCAGCCCUGCCAUGGCCUGGUAGCCGGCUCCGCUGGGACCCAGGGUGUCUUGAAGCUGUACUGUGGAGAAAGGGAAGGCAGGGACUCUAACUGCACCUGCCCCUCACCCUCUCCUGGGAAAUGGGACCCUCAGUGUGGAGGCUAAGGAGGCACCAGUUGGUUCUCCACGCCCAGCCCUGUCUUUGCUGUUCUUCACCGGUUAUAGGCCAUAUGGCCCCAUUAUGGUGUGUGCCUCAGUUUCCUUGUCUGUAAUGUGGGCUACCUGCCUGAAAGGGUCAAAGGUGAAAGAGAAUACUGUAAGAAAGUGUUUGGCACAGCCUGACAAAAAGUAAAUGCUCUCUCUUUCUCUGUC